rnacentral:rRNA from 1 species
GCUCCAGACUCCUACGGGAGGCAGCAGUGAGGAAUAUUGGUCAAUGGGCGGGAGCCUGAACCAGCCAAGUCGCGUGAGGGAAGAAGGCCCUGCGGGUCGCAGACCUCUUUGGACGGGGAGCAAGGCCGCCGACGUGUCGGCGGAAGGAGAGUACCCGUAGAACAAGCAUCGGCUAACUACGUGCCAGCAGCCGCGGUAAUACGUAGGGGGCAAGCGUUAUCCGGAUUUACUGGGUGUAAAGGGAGCGUAGGCGGUUAGAUAAGUCUGAUGUGAAAGCCCACAGCUUAACUGUGGGAUUGCAUUGGAAGCUAUAGAACUAGAGUGUCGGAGAGGUAAGUGGAAUUCCUAGUGUAGCGGUGAAAUGCGUAGAUAUUAGGAGGAACACCAGUGGCGAAGGCGGCUUACUGGACGAUGACUGACGCUGAGGCUCGAAAGCGUGGGGAGCAAACAGGAUUAGAUACCCUAGUA